rnacentral:rRNA from 1 species
UACGUAGGGUGCGAGCGUUAAUCGGAAUUACUGGGCGUAAAGCGUGCGCAGGCGGCUAUGCAAGACAGAUGUGAAAUCCCCGGGCUCAACCUGGGAACUGCAUUUGUGACUGCAUGGCUAGAGUGCGGCAGAGGGGGAUGGAAUUCCGCGUGUAGCAGUGAAAUGCGUAGAUAUGCGGAGGAACACCGAUGGCGAAGGCAAUCCCCUGGGCCUGCACUGACGCUCAUGCACGAAAGCGUGGGGAGCAAACAGG